GGAUUGCCCCAGUAACGGCGAGUGAAGCGGCAACAGCUCAAAUUUGAAAUCUGGCUCUCGGGCCCGAGUUGUAAUUUGUAGAGGAUGCUUUUGGUGAGGUGCCUUCCGAGUUCCCUGGAACGGGACGCCAUAGAGGGUGAGAGCCCCGUCUGGUUGGACACCGACCCUCUGUAAAGCUCCUUCGACGAGUCGAGUAGUUUGGGAAUGCUGCUCUAAAUGGGAGGUAUAUGUCUUCUAAAGCUAAAUACCGGCCAGAGACCGAUAGCGCACAAGUAGAGUGAUCGAAAGAUGAAAAGAACUUUGAAAAGAGAGUUAAAAAGUACGUGAAAUUGUUGAAAGGGAAGCGCUUGUGACCAGACUUGGGCUUGGUUGAUCAUCCGGGGUUCUCCCCGGUGCACUCUUCCGGCCCAGGCCAGCAUCAGUUCGCCCUGGGGGACAAAGGCUUCGGGAAUGUGGCUCUCUCCGGGGAGUGUUAU
rnacentral:rRNA from 1 species